UCGGUUCCGGUUCACGCUCGUCGCGAGUUCGCGUGGGCGACCCGGCGGCC
ncrna:Nocardia pneumoniae NBRC 100136 L31-Actinobacteria ribosomal protein leader